rnacentral:misc_RNA from 1 species
UCCUAGUUAACCUAGGCAGUCUCAUUAGAGUCCCCACCUUACGUGUUGGCAACUAAUGAUAAGGGUUGCGCUCGUUGCUGGACUUAACCAAACACCUCACGGCACGAGCUGACGACAGCCAUGCAGCACCUAUAUAAUAGUCCUUGCGGAACUCUUCAUCUCUGAAGAUGUCCAUUACAUUUCGAGCCUGGGUAAGGUUCUUCGCGUUGCAUCGAAUUAAACCACAUGCUCCACUGCUUGUGCGGGCCCCCGUCAAUUCUUUUGAGUUUCACCCUUGCGAGCGUACUCCCCAGGCGGUAUACUUAUCGCGUUAGCUUCGACACAAUCAGGGUUGAGCCUAAUUACAUCAAGUAUACAUCGUUUACGGCAAGGACUAC